AGUGGAUGGGGAGCAACCUAUGUUGUGCGUGUGUAAAGGUAGUGCCAAGAAAAGCGAUGAUCAUGUUGAAAAUCAAUUCCCGGUACCCGAAACCGACACAGGUGGGCAAGUAGAGAAUACUAAGGGGCGCGAGGUAACUCUCUCCAAGGAACUCGGCAAAAUGACCCCGUAACUUAGGGAGAAGGGGUGCCACCGAGAGGUGGUCGCAGUGAAGAGGCCCAGGCGACUGUUUAGCAAAAACAUAGGUCUCUGCAAACUCGAAAGAGGAGGUAUAGGGGCUGACGCCUGCCCAGUGCCGGAAGGUUAAAGAAGAUGGUCAGUUUUAGGAUGAAGCUAGCGACUGAAGCCCCGGUGAACGGCGGCCGUAACUAUAACGGUCCUAAGGUAGCGAAAUUCCUUGUCGGGUAAGUUCCGACCCGCACGAAAGGCGUAACGAUCUGGGCGCUGUCUCGGAGAGAGGCUCGGCGAAAUAGGAUUGUCUGUGUAGAUACGGACUACCUGCAUUUGGACAGAAAGACCCUAUGAAGCUUUACUAUAGCUUGGAAUUGUGUUCGGGCUUCCUGUGCGCAGGAUAGGUGGGAGGCGUAGAAGGUAUUCUUGUGGGGAUACUGGAGCCAACGGUGAGAUACCACUCUCAGGAGGCUAGAAUUCUAACUUAAUUAAGGACAGUUUCAGGUGGGUAGUUUGACUGGGGCGGUCGCCUCCAAAAAGGUAACGGAGGCGUACAAAGGUUCCCUCAGACUGGUUGGAAAUCAGUCGAAGAGUGCAAAGGCAGAAGGGAGCUUGACUGCGAGAAGUACAGUUCGAGCAGGGUGGAAACACGGUCUUAGUGAUCCGACGGUGCUGUGUGGAAGGGCCGUCGUUCAACGGAUAAAAGUUACUCUAAGGAUAACAGGCUGAUCUCCCCCAAGAGUUCACAUCGACGGGGAGGUUUGGCACCUCGAUGUCGGCUCAUCGCAACCUGGGGCGAAGUACGUCCCAAGGGUUGGGCUGUUCGCCCAUUAAAGCGGUACGUGAGCUGGGUUCAGAACGUCGUGAGACAGUUCGGUCCAUAUCCGAUGUAGGCGUGAGAAUAUUGAGAGGAGCCUUCCUUAGUACGAGAGGACCGGGAAGGACGCACCGCUGGUGUACCUGUUAUGAUGCCAAUUGUAAACGCAGGGUAGCCAAGUGCGGAGAGGAUAACCGCUGAAAGCAUCUAAGUGGGAAGCCCACCUCAAGAUGAGUAUUCUGGUGUAAGGUCACGGGAAGACGACCCGUAAAUAGGCACGAGGUGGAAGCGCAGAGAUGUAUGAAGCCGAAGUGUACUAAUAGACCGUCGGCUUGAC
rnacentral:rRNA from 1 species